rnacentral:rRNA from 1 species
AUGGAGGAAUACUACAAUAAAGGACUUCAGCAAGAUGAUCAAAAACAAUCACAAAAGUUAAACAACAUCACAAAGUGUCCGGUGUACAUGGAGGAUUUCAAAAUUCUUUGGCACACGGAAUCUACUUCUACACCGCAAGCGAAAAAGUGGAUGAAAAAAUUUCAAGGAACCUACUGUGUUAAGGGGGUUGGAGCGCAGUACACACUAGGUUGGAGUCACCCACUGAAGUAUGUGGACCCAGGUUCACAGGCAAGUUUACCUGCACAAAGAAGUUUUAACAUUCACAGAAAUGUCUACUGA